UAUGAGUAGUGAUGACCUAAAACUUGAAAAUAGGAAGUUCCAUACUAACAUGUGGAUUAAUUUUACAGUAAUAGUGAUGGAGCACUGGAGCAGGUUGUUCAGAGAGGUUGUGGAGUCUCCUAUUCAGAUAUUCAAGACCCUCGUGGAUGCCUACCUGAGCAACCUAUCGUAAGGACAAGACAUAGAAUAAACGGCACCAUCCUCUAUGCUAAAAUUGAGCUAAUCAAAGACAUCAAUCAACAUCAUUCCAGGGAAGAAACAUUGUGAAAAAAUAUUAUAGUACACUGAGUUCUUGGUUCAUUUUAGUAUUCAACCAUGCACCACUGGCACCAGGGACUAGAAUAUCAUACAGUAUAUGCUAAAGGAUGUUCCACUCCAAGCAACAUUUUCAAAUGGAACGAGAACAUACAGAAUAAGCAGCACCAAAGCUUCGAGGGUUAAAAACAUUUUAUCUGCUCAGGCAAUAAAAGAAGCAGAAAAAGAAAUCCCUCAUUAAAGCCAACGUCCAAAUUCCCAGUGGAGCAGCAGAUACACAAGGUGUGUGUUCCCAUCAGAUGUUGAGAAUGGAAAUAUUUGGAGACAAGCUGAUGGCAAUUAGCAACAAUAACGUGUCUUAACUGCUAUCUUAUUUUGUUAGUCAUGCAGAUCUGGCACAGGAAGUGCCUGAGCUGGAUUAUGCUCUCAUUUGUGACAAACCUGUUAACCCAGGUGCAGCUGCCAGUCCAGAUGUGCCUCUGUGACACCUGUGCAUAUCCACUGUCUAUAUCUCUCUGAGGUAUACAGCAAAAAUAAAAAUGUAAUGGGAAUUGAGGCACCUAAUGGCAAUAAAGUUGCAGAAAUGUAAAUGAGGUAAGAUUUUGCUCUACUAGAAUUUUUGUUGCAUAUAAAAUUGUCUGUGCCAGACCGAGUAAAGAUGGGUUUUCAGGUACUAGCACUGGCAGUAGCUUGAGAGCACUGGCCAAUAGAAAGCUUACAGAGCACUUUAUCUCUGGAAACUCUGUGAGCAGAUGCUCCAAACUCUCACAGUGUUGCUUCCACAGGCAUAAGUUUCAAAUCAUUAUUGCGAUUAUAAACUGCAAGCAUGCACACAGCUGAUUGCACGUGAAAUGCCUUCUGCUGCCCGUCCCUGUGGCAGAACUGUUCAUUUAACUGCUGGGGUCACUCUCCAGGUAUGAAUAUUAUAUUAAAUGAUGGUAAAGGAUUAUACAGAAGACAGAAAGUGCUGAGUUACUGAAGAAUAUGUUAUGCCUUGAGGAAAAGUGUGAAGAAAAAUGAUACCAAAAAUAUCACAUAGAAAUUCUCACUUAUACAACAAGAACUACCUUAAGCUCUCUUGUUGUCCUUUCUGAAGACUAAAAGGUGCUCUGACCUUGUCUUCAAAGGUAAGCCCCAGAAUAUCUCAUGGUAAACUAUAACUCUUCCUUCUCUCCUUAACUUUAUGCCUGGUUAAAAGCCAGUUAAGGACAAAACAACAAACAUGAAAGUUGCCACUCACCUGGCUUAGCACCUCACUGCAAUAUAACAUGGGUGCAGAAUCAAAAAAGUAUUAAGUUGAAUUCUAUCACAUAGCUACAGAGUGAAAGAGACGAAGGAGAGGAGAUGUGUUUAAAAAAAAAAAAACAACAAAUGGAGAAGGUAAAGCAAGAGCCAAGCCACCGUUUUUUGGCAGCAGCUCCGCACAUUUUCUUUCCUGAAGGAACAGGAAAAAAGAAAUUAUUAUUUAUUUUUUUUUUCCAUUUGAAACUGAAAGGUAACCUAAUUAUAUGAGUGGAUUUUAGUUCUGACAGCAAGGUUAAUGAUCCAGAACUUGGAAGUACACCAGGACACAUUAGUGACCAUAAGCAGUCAUAAACUUGGCUUCACAUUUAAGUGAAAGAAACCUUGCAGUACAGCAUCGCGUCAUCCUGGUGAAACACUGCCUAUGUGCUGAGCUGGGAAAAAUAAAACCUUUGCAUUCAUUAACAUUCUUUCCUGUGAUAGCUAAGUAAUAUUUAGAGAUCAAUCAUUUCAAAGCCAAUCCCAACCUGAGCACCAACACUGUAUUUUUAUUACCAUUUUAUUUUUGGUUUUGUUCUUAACACCAUGGAAUAUGGCAGUCAUGAUGAAGGACCCUGCUUCAAGGCCUCAAGGAGUGUUAACUCAAAAAUAUUUAAACUUAUAGGUUCGGAGAGGUGAAGGUGAGUUUCUGCUUUUAAAAUGAGCACUGUAGCAUUAGAUGAAACUUGUGGAAUGGGAAAAAGUCACUGAUAUUUCUUUUAUUUUGAAAGAAUUAAAGUCAACCAUUCAGAAAGAAGUAAGUGACAGCAGAGGAAGUGUGUGCUGCCAUCUCAGCCCUAGGUGAUACAGCUACCAACAAAUAAAGUGCAGAUAGCUGAAAAAUGCCAAAGGAAAAAGAGGUAGGUCUAAAGCAAGGAGAUAAUAAACAGUAAGCUGACAGAGCAGAAACUUCCAAGGGAAAUAAAUUGGUCAAACACGGGAAUUAAAACUGCAAAAUUCAAAAGAAUGCAGUUAAACACAGCUUUCAAAGAGUCUAGCUUGACAGAACCUGAGGAGAAAAAGAUUAUUUCAAUGAGAAGUGCUGAUGACCUCUGAUGUUACUUGAGGGGUACCAGAAGGAGCCUUGGCAGGUGGAAGUUGGGAGUUCUGAACAUGUCCCACAAUGACAAGAAAAGGGGUGGGUGAGACAAAAGACUAGUGUAACACUCAUUGAAAAUGCGAACCCAGAUCACCAUGGUUCAGAUAAAGAGAGAGAUUAGAAGCUCAAGAUAAACAGGAAGUGAUUUCAUUAAAUAAGCUUUCUGUCUGUAAGUAGGAUAUUGCUCGGGCAAACAGUGCACAGUCAAUUUUUUUCCAGGAACAAAUAUAUUCAAUAUUUAUCUCUGUUUAUAUUCACAGUAUAUAUACUUUUUAAAUAUAUGUCAUAAUAAUAGCUCCUAACUGUUCUUUCUCACUGGAUUUAAACUUUUGUAAGUGCACAGGCUUCUACAGUGGAUCUCUCAAUUUUCAGUGGGGUAUGUGGGAGCAUCUUGUACCAGCAGACUGAAGAUGCUACUGCAGGCAGCUCAAGAAUCAUAGAAUCAUAGAAUGGCUUGAGUUGGAAGGGACCUCAAGGAUCAUCAAGCACCAGCCCCUCUGCCUGUAGCAGAAAACAACAUUUUCUGAGCAAUAGGAAACACAGCCAUCAGGCAUCCCCAACAGAAACCCUGAAUGCUCCACUCUGGCUCCCUGCAAAGCUUUUAAUUGAAUUGAAGCCAGAACAUUUGCUUUCCAGGUUAUUGGUCCAACUCCCAUUGAUGCAGGCUUGUGGUAGCCACGGGCUCUGUCUUUCUUAUUGUCUCUUCUUUAUCUCAUUAGCUGUUUGUUUCUUGAGUUUUCAUUUCAAACUCCCACAUGAGUACCACUGCAGACAGCUCUGUUGCAACCACAGGGCGGGAGCACCAGGAAGUGCUCCAGCUGCCCUAUGGGUGCAAGCUGUGUGGCUCUGGGAAGGGGCAGUUUAGAUACUGCUUGCUCUCCUCAGCUGCUCCAGCUGCCCUGAGCUCCAUUUCCCUGUUCUCUGUUCUCUGCGUAGUGGCUAAGCACUAUGAUUGCCUGUCAAUAUCAAAGCAUGAAGUUAGAGGUUGUAUUUGCAGCAGGAGUAUUUUUCCCAGUUCAUGUCAAAAUCAAUGUGUCCUGACGAGCCAGUCAUGUACUCUGUGCCUCAAAACCUCCUUGACUUCAGUGGGAAAUUUGCUUGAAUAAGGCUCUCUAUAUAAACUUCAAGGCAGUGAAGUUGCAGAAAAUUGUCUGAUUUAUUUUGGCGACAUCCCCAGAUGGUAAAAUUAUAAUUAUUUCUGUGAUUAUAUCAGGUAUAUUUUUACAGCUUACAAGCUGGAUAAGUUGGAUGGGCAAAAACCUGUGAUGUUUUCUGUAUUUCUCUCAAUACAUCUUGUCCUACUACAAUAAUAGUUGCCCUUCUCUGCCUUUGAAAUAAACUGAAUAUUUAAAUGAAAGAAUUUUAGCCUUGUUUCAACUGAGCUCCAGUUAAUUCAUCUUCUUCCAUUCCGUAUCUGUCCUUGGAAAUGAGAAAACCCAUACACAACACUAUCUGCUCUCACAGACAUGGGAAGCUAUGGAAGAACAGGACUAAGAAGGGAGAGUUACAAAAAAGAUAUUUCACUGCUUCCGAAAUGAGGAUCAUGUGUUCACAUUCAAAGACAAGGAAAUCAAGCGGAUAUCUGGCAACACAAUGUAGAAAAUACUCAAGCUGUAUUAAAUAAAG